rnacentral:rRNA from 1 species
CACCAGCAGCCCGAGUGGUCGCCGUUUUUAUUGGGCUUAAAGCGUCCGUAGCCGGAUAGAUUAGUCUCUAGGUAAAUCUUGCGUUCAAGCGUAAGCCUUCUAGAGAUACUGUCUAUCUUGAGGCCGGGAGAGGUUGGAGGUACUCCCGGGGUAGGGGUAAAAUCCUGUAAUCCUGGGGGGACCACCGGUGGCGAAGGCGUCCAACUGGAACGGGCCUGACGGUGAGGGACGAAACCCAGGGGGAGCGAGCCGGAUUAGAUACCCGGGGUAGUCCUGGGCGUAAAUCAUGCGGACUAGGUGUGGGGGAUAUCCACGAGAUAUCUCUGUGCCGAAGGGAAGCCAUUAAGUCCGCCGCCUGGGGAGUACGGCCGCAAGGCUGAAACUUAAAGGAUUGGCGGGGGAGCACCACAAGGGGUGAGGCUGCGGUUU